rnacentral:rRNA from 1 species
UACGGAGGGAGCUGGCGUUGUUCGGAUAUACUGGGCGUAAGCGCACGUAGGCGGCGUCGUAAGUCAGGGUGAAAUCCGGAGCUCAACUCCGGAACUGCCUUGAACUGCAAUGCUAGAAUCUUGGAGAGGCGAGUGGAAUCCGAGUGUAGAGGUGAAAUUCGUAGAUAUUCGGAAGAACACCAGUGGCGAAGGCGACUCGCUGGACAAGUAUUGACGCUGAGGUGCGAAGCGUGGGAGCAAACAGG